rnacentral:rRNA from 1 species
AUUGAACGCUGGCGACAUGCCUUACACAUGCAAGUCGAACGGCAGCACGGGAGCAAUCCUGGUGGCGAGUGGCGAACGGGUGAGUAAAGUAUCGGAACGUGCCCAGUCGUGGGGGAUAACGUAGCGAAAGUUACGCUAAUACCGCAUACGAUCUAUGGAUGAAAGCGGGGGAUCGCAAGACCUCGCGCGAUUGGAGCGGACGAUAUAAGAUUAGGUAGUUGGGGGGGUAAAGGCUCACCAAGCCGACGAUCUGGAGCUGGUCUGAGAGGACGACCAGCCACACUGGGACUGAGACACGGCCCAGACUCCUACGGGAGGCAGCAGUGGGGAAUUUUGGACAAUGGGCGAAAGCCUGAUCCAGCCAUGCCGCGUGCAGGAUGAAGGCCUUCGGGUUGUAAACUGCUUUUGUACGGAACGAAAAGGUUUGGCCUAAUAAGCUGAGCUCAUGACGGUACCGUAAGAAUAAGCACCGGCUAACUACGUGCCAGCAGCCGCCGUAA